GAGAUCCUUCCCCGAAACUCUCUACUUCUCCUUCGGUGAGAACGAUACAGGUUUCGUUACGUUUUAACUUUUGCCGUUCAUGUUAUCAGUCCUCGGUUCAGGGUAACUCAAAAAGUUUCUCUGGGUAUGAUUGUCGUACUCGCUCGGCUGUGUAGAUCGAAUAUAAUUUGGACUCUUCCGAGCUUUAACCAAAUCAAAAUGACAGGAUUUAUUUUGUGGCCUGUGGUUCAAGACCGAAAAGCUAAACACGUUGUGUAAUUCGCUGCAGUUCAAACAACUCUAGGAACAAUGCAACACCAGGUAGACCAUACGUGCUGCGGCCCGGUAAGUGCUCUUAUUUAAGGUUUCAGGGGAUAGUUGCGUAGAGAAGUAGUUGUCCGAAUGUUAGAGUAGUUCUGAUUUUGGACUCGCGUUGGUCUGUCAACGUGUACCUCUUCUUGCGGGGUUGACCCGUUCAGAUACCGUUUGUUACAAAGCUAGUGCUCUAUAUCGUUGUUAAAAUUCGAGAGACAGAGGAACCUCAUUUUCGAACUAAAGUUGCUAGUUUCGGCGGUGUCAACUAGAUAAUCUUUUCGAAGUUCAAAGAAGACUGGCAGACCCUCAGUUCCUCUAGCUCAGCCGUUUAUUAAAACCUCAAGUGAGGCCUAGGGGACUGGAUGCCGGUGGACUGCAACCCGGUGACUGCGCACCCAGGCCCAGGUGUGCAGUCGCUCACGCGGCAUGCAGUCUCCUCGACGCAGGGGUAGAGUGUAGACGAGGUACCGGCGGCGGGAGGAGUUUGAAGGACCGGCCGCGGCGGCGGGAUUUAGCAAGGCCGCGGCGAGCGGGAGGUGAGAGGGCUGGAGGUGAUGACCAGCAGAGAGUGGAGGUGGUGGCGGCGGGCCGAGGCUGGGAACGACGUAGGCGUAGGGUGGAAGCAGCCUGGUGAGGCGGGUUGUGCCGAAGGGACCUGCGCUACUAACAUGGGGCACGAGGGACGAGGUCUAGACCGUCGCCGGAGGAGGAGAGGCAAAACAGGUUCGGUCAACUAGGUAAAAAGACACUUAGAUCUAGACUCCCGUAGGCCUAGAACUAAAGGAAGAAAACGACCGAGUAACCACUUUUCUCAUCCGAAGAGGGCUGGAGAGGUUAGCGGCGGCGGUCGCGGUAGUGCGUGCUCUCGUGCGCACGUGCGCUGGGCGCGGAGGACGGCGGAAGGCGGCCAGGGCCGGCGACGGCGGCGCUCGGGCGGCUGGUGGUGGUACGGAGGAGGAAAGGAGAGGAGAGAGAGAGAAGGAAGAGAGGGCAGAGUUCCGGCGCACGGGGAUGCCCAGUGCCGGUACCGGCGGCGGACUCGUGUUCGAGGUCGGCCGGCGGCGUGGACCGACGCGGUAGGCGGCAGGGACGCCACCCACCGCCGCCGCCGCCGUCCCGUCACCCACGACCGCCGCGGAGCAGGGUCGACUCCGUCGAGAGAAAAAACUCAGCGAGCUGAGUAUAUACAGCUGAUCAGGUCUGAUCAGCAGCUGAUCAGGUAGGUGCCGAGCUGAGCAAAACAAAGAGUAGAAAUCUUCAGAAACAUCACCUUCCUUCCCGUUCCGUUUUGGACAGAGUCAGAGAGGAGUAUACGUGUUGCGGUGAUUAGGUAAGGAGAUUAGAAGAGGACUUGUGUAUAAACCAGCGUCCCUUGUGGCUCAAUAGGAGACAAUCGAACCUCCUACCACGAUACCCGCUGGUGCAGCCGUUACCGUUGUCGCUUCCGUUGUUACUACAACUCUUGUACCACCAUCGGAUU
rnacentral:rRNA from 1 species